rnacentral:tRNA from 1 species
GAGGAUUUAGCUCAGUGGUAGAGCGCUUGCCUAGCAAGCACAAGACCCUGGGUUCGGUCCCCAGCUCC